GCAACAAGAUCUACAACCUCAGAUGAUGCUCUUUAUGUAAUCAAUGAUUAAUGGUAUGGUUGCUCAUGAAUCCAUCGGGAAACAGGGCUAAGUAAACGUUAAGGAUUUCAAGUGUUUUGAAUCACAUCAGGUUUGAUUUAUUGUCAGGUUGAAGGAAUUAUUCAAGCCGGUUGGGAUUCAAAUGUGUGGAAAAGUAAAGAAUAGAUUCAUGCUAUAGUGGGCGGCUGUGAUGAUUUUUUUCGAUGCCGACUGGAAGCAGAACGAGUUUGACAUCCCAGUGAUUGUGAUCUCACGACUCUUAUAUUAAUACUCAAUUAAUUGAGAAGAUUAUCAGUAUUAUAGCGAUAGCAUAUCUCAAAUGAUGGCCACAUUUAUAGGGAAUGAGGAUCUCUGAACUUAUGAACAGAGUGGUUGCCGUACGACCUAGGGCUCAGGAAGACCAUCAGGAACACCUACAUCUACAGAUCCCUCUGCUACACCAUACAUAUUCUAAAUCGUAUUUGGAAGUACUGACGAUCUACAGCUGCCCUGCUAAGCGGAAAAAGCGAACAAGGAUAUAAGCAUUUGUCUAUGCGCUAAUGGUCAAGUUCGUUAUUAAGAUAUUGAUAAUUAGGUUAUUACAACGAAAUAAUGGUCUAAACUGCACUGAUAUGGUAUGAUCAUUUUGUUGUAAUACUAUAUGGUUUUCAAUUUGUGGCACCGCCUUGUUUAGUGUUGAGUAUG